UCGCGCUGGCGGUACCUGCCAUUACGGUGUACGGGUAUCGUCGCCAUCAUCAUCCAGAUCCAGGUGAGACCCCAUCCCUUGGCCCCUGCGCUUCGCAUGUGGACAUGGGUGUGAAAUUGUUUGGGAGCUAUGGAGAGCGUUACCAUGUCCAUGCCGUCGUUGGACCUGUCCGUGGGCAGGAUUCGUGAGUAGAGCUCCCUCGGCAGGCCAUCGCUGGGCCUCUACCUCCUCAGUGGCUGCUCGUUCGGGCUGUCGUACCAGAUGCCAGCGCUCGUGACGGAAAUGGAGCACCCCUUGAUAGUUGACAUGGCGGCGUGUGCCAUGGACGAGCUCAUCUGGCUCGCCCAAGCCGGCAAGCAAAUCUGGGUCAAGGGAAUGCGGAUGACGCGAGGGAUUUCUCAGCUCAGACGCCUACCGAUCUGUUUAUUUCCUACAAACGCUCCCCAAAAGUUCCAAAUGAUUCUUCCGCCUCUGCCAAGUUCCCCAGAAUCCCCAGGUUGAUGCUGCCCCUGCCCAUCGAUUGGAUCUUGUUCGAUUUCUCUGUUCUGCAGAUCCUGUGUGCAUCCGCUCCAGGUAGUGGCCCUUUGCUCGGCUCCCUUCCUCCUUCGUCCAUGCUUUGAUGGUUCAAUCCACGCUAAUUUUGAGUUCUCGCCCCUGUCUAGCGUCAAAGACUAGCUAGAACUUGAAUUUCCUGUUGCAUGGUUCAUUUUUAUCUACUGUUAAUACAUCACAUUCUUAUGAAGCCGUACAACUCUUUUUUCCUACAAUGGUAACCUAAUGAUUAUCUGAGCACAGUACUUAUUACUACAAUGGUAUAUAUGUGCUAUAGGUAUCACAAGUAAUACCAAUGGUCACAUCAAUUAGAAAUCCUUACACAUAUCGAACUCAAUAACCUGGUGUGCCCUCGCCCAAUGUAUACGAGCAAUGCAAAGGACGAGAGCCUAAUUGAUAAGCAACUAACAAUUAUUUCUGGAGUGGGAUGUACGCACUACAUCCGUAGUGGAAAUAAGAUUAGGUCAUGUGAUUCCAAGUAUACAAUAAAAAGAAAAGGUAUGGAGAAUAUCGUAGGAAACUGUAUUAAAAACAUCAUCGUGAACAUAACAGUCCAAUGCAAAGAAAGAAGAACCAACUAAAACUCAACUUAAUCAUGCAUAUAUAUAUAUAGUUAUUAGCACAUAUGUACUUCACUAGGAGUUAAGGAGAGGCUCAUGCAUGAUCACCGCCUACUCGUGCUUAGCUUUUGAUCAUUAAGUUAUGUAAUUAAAUAUUUAUAGGAAUAGUAAUUUGUCUAAAUGUUCAAGGAAAAAAAUAAGAGCAGCUAGCUCCUAUCUCACGUGUCGUCAAACAAUAAGGACAAGUUCAGAAGCCAAGGAGAAGUCAAAAAGAAGAAUAUAGAAAACUCAAGUGACCUGACCUACAGUUGGUUGCUUCUAAGAUAGAUAUCAGAAUUCAGAAGCAAGUUCUUCUUACCUUUUUCCUGGCCUCAGCCUCGUCCUUCUCUGCUUCCAAAGCUUUAUGUUUCUCAUCUAAUUUUGUGUAGAACUGGGUAAUAACAACACUGUCACUACCAGACCCUUUUUGGAACAGAAGUGCUUGCUAGGAGAUACCUGGGUAAUAACAACACUGGGUAUGAAGCUACGUAUAUCCUUCAAAACCACAGUUACACAAUGGCGCCACAUGUUUUUUUCAGAAAGAAUGGAGGGGGUAUUCCUGUGUGCCAUCAGUACACAAACACAUUCAGAUAAUAAACUCUAUCCUGCACAAUGGACAUAUGUUUGCCUUUUUCUGAAAUUUCAGAAGCAGUGUGAGCUUUGAGUUGUUCCAUAAAAUUCUUCAAAUUUCUUGACUGUUUCUGUUCAGCUUGAGACUGGAUAAUAAUGCAAGAUUGUUCUUCUAAAUGUCUCUUGGCAGAACCAAUUUCCUUUUCAAUUUCUUGACAAUGAUGUUGCAUAUUCAGUUUAGCAGUAUCAACAAAUGAGUAGGACUCAUGAAAUUUUCCCAGUACAACAGUAAGAAAUAUCAAAGCUUCCCAACUCUCCACUGUUUGUAGCUCAAGGGACCUAUAACUACCCAGUAACUCAUUCUGCAGUUGCCCGAUAAGAAUAUCUUUGGAUUCUAAAUCUGACAGGUAAAUUUUGUAACCAUCCAAAGAAAAUAGUUAUAUGGAAUGUCUGGGGUUUGAAUUCUCCAUCCAAGCAACAAUCUGUACGAACUUUCGUUGAUUCCGUUGGAGCAGACAUUGUAUGCCUGCAAGAAACCAACAUACAGAAUAUUUCUAGAGGAACUGUCUUUGCUAUUCUUGGAGUGACUUUUGAAGAAUUCCUCUUUUUACCUUCCUCUGGGGCUAGCGGUGGUAUUCUUUUAGCCUGGAAAAGGCAUGUGCAAGCAACAGGGCAUAACAGAGUGGGCUCUUAUUCUGUCCAAUUCCAGCAGUCAAAUGGCCAACCUUGGUGGUUAUCCGGUGUCUAUGGGCUUCGGGACAUUGAUGACAAGAUUCCAUUCCUCCAAAAGCAAUUGCUAUGGUAAAAAAGGUUUCAUUUUGAGUAUUUUUGGCCAAAAUUGGAGGGAUUCCAGGAAGCGUGGGCAUCGGGUGGUGGUAGCUCCUACCCCUUCCUGACUCUUGAGAUGAAGUUGAAAGCCACUGCACGUGCCCUUCAGAGGUGGAGUGAUAAAAGAUGCCGAGGUAAGGGUUGUAAUUUGUGUGAUCGUUUUAAUCACUCUUUUUAUCGAAUUGUUACAUCCAGAGUCAUCACUGUACUCUAAGUCCCGUUUGGUUCCUUUAGUCCAGGGACUAAAGUUUAGUUAGGAGACUAAAGUUUAGUCCUACCAUGUUUGGUUCUAGGGACUAAAACUAUUCAAAACACAUUAAAUGAAUCAUAAGGGGACUAAAAUACCCCUUAGCAUUCUCCCACCAUAAGUGCAGCUAAAAUAAAAGAGGGGCAAAAGUGGAAUUUAUAUGGUUUAGUCCCUUUUAGUCACCCCUUGAGGGACUAGAGACUAAAACAGUUUAGUCCCAGUUUUAGUCCCACACUUUGGCAAUUUAGGGACUAAAUGAGACUAAAAUAGAAGGACUAAUCUUUAGUCCCUCAAACCAAACGGGGCCUAAAACAGUCUGAACAAUAGAGUGUUUUCGCUUACACAAUUACAAGUGUACUACGAGUCAUAGAUAGUUGUGAAAGUGCCUGAAUGUACUUCCGAAUUAGUAUAAUGGACGUUUAGCAUAUUAUAUAUGUUUUUGACUUAAAAGUCAUUGCAAGCUGAAAUAACGAACAAAGUGUGUCCACCCUUGCACAUUGUCUGUUUUUUAGCACACAUCAAGCAACUUCCAUCCUCAAUCUCUCUGCUAAGUCAUGACGCAUUAAAAGCUUGUUUUUUGACAAUAGCCACAAAACCACAUGCGAAUCGUAUAUUGCCUCUUAGUUUAUACAUGUGAAUAUAUGAAAUAUAUGAUGCAUGUGUUACUAGAAUUUUCUUAUUGUUUUUAGUAGCAUAUAGUGGUGGGUUUCGAAGAACAAUAUGGUUUUAUGGAUCCAGCUCAAUAGAAUAAGGAUCAGUUGGAUUGCGGUACGAAAUCGGAGUUCAUACUUCAUAUAACUAUUUCUUAUUCGUGCUGAUAUUUUUUGGUGUUCAUGUACCUAUUCAUUAUGCGUCGUUUGCUUGGUACUUGCACAUGAUUCUGUCGAAUUGUCCGUUACAUGGCUCACAGGUUUUGGCCCCAGUUCAUUGAUUUGCUUGUUGGUACCGCUAUUGACCAUCCAAUGCAGUGUUCUCAAGGUCCAAAGUACGUGGACCUUCAGUUGGUGUAAUCAGAAGCAAUAUCCAAGAUAUUCAUCAUGCACUUCUACAAAAUGUAAUGUAAUCCUAAGUGUUCGUCCUUUUAUUUUCUUUUAUUUUUCUUGAGUGAAUGAAAUGUUACUAAAAUUAUUCGUUUUCCAGAUAUUUACCAUGUGCCAUAUUCUUUUUUUAUAUAUGGCCCUUGGUUCACACUAAUCCUCUCACAUACCAGUUAGCCAUGUGUUCUGUUUGACAAGGAGAAGGAAACAGGAACAAGGUCGGAGGAGAAGAGAAACUCAACUCCAGCUAAUGACAAGCCCAUGUGUGCAUUGUGAUAGGUGAGAGCUUCGAAGGCUAGCUGCUGCUUCUUGCCUCUUGCAUUUCUCUUUUCUUGCUCGCGCUCCAAAUCUUCUUAUUGCGGUGGCUUGGCAAGCGUAGUGGUUGUCUGUGUCUGCCUGGCGACGACAUUUGCUGCACGCGAUCUCUUGCAGUCGCUACUCGCUACAACAAGGCUUCUGGGGAUGCCAUUGUUAGCUGAUUCUUUUCCUCACUGGUGAAGGGCAGCUGGUUGCUUCAGCUAAAAGAGUCGAGCAGACCAACAAUGCAAUUUAGCUGGAGCAUGAUCAGAAUUCUUGUCUGUACUGCAGACACUGCUCUGGGGUCUGUUUAUGCGCAACAACGGUUUAUGAGAGGAGAGGUGGCCCCCAUCUGUGGCCGCAAAGGAGCUUGGCCAACUGCGACAACGACAUCCUGGCUCUGGUUGUAAUUGUAGUAUUUGUUGGUAAAUAAUUUUAUCGAAUAUUUUGUAUGCCGUUGCAAAGCACGGGCAUAUAACUAGUUUAUAGAAUAAAAGUACAAUAAAUUUUCAAACCAAACCCUUCCUAAAAAGAUGCUAAAACUUAUAUGGGCCGCCGAGGGAGUAACUUUAAUAGAUUGUGAGAACACAUGGGCUGACGUAUGAUACAGAUGCGGAUGCGUAAUGGUUGUCGUUUGGGAUCCAGAAGUGGCGAUGACUAUGGCUGGUACGCUUGGAAAUAUCUGGAGGGGCUGAAACUGAUGAUUUUCAUUUUGCAGAAAAUGAAGUCAGAGAGCCAGCUUUACAUAUUGUUCGAUGGGACAUUUCACUAGGUGAUAGUGAUGCUCCGACCUCAGUUCGAAGGCAACCUUGACUACAAAAGUAACUCUUCUUUUUAUGCAACAUACUCUGAACCACACAUUGCUAACGUGUAAAAUCUGUUUUUUUUUUCAAUACCCAAAUAUCAUAGAAGUCUAUCUUCAACUCUAAAAACCACACAUUACACUACACCUAACUAAACCAGACCAAAAAUAAGAACAAAAAACCCACGUCUCAUAUGCAUUGUGAGGUGUAGUCAUUACUGAAAUUCGGCUCUGUUGACGCCUUUUCGGAGCGCCAAAUACUCAAGAAGAAACGGCGGCGGUGCUCUCUGGUUAGGCGCGGACGGUCCGCGGCACGGAGCCGGACGGUCCGCGACCUGGCGCGAGGCGGCGGUGCUCUCUGGUCAGGCGCGGACGGUCCGUGGCUGGGGUCGGACGGUCCGCGACCUGGUGCAGGAGCUUGGGUCCUCUGCCUGACGGCCGGACGGUCCGCGCCCUGAGGCCGGACGGUCCGCGCGUGCGCAGGGGCGGCGGAAGUCGGCGGCGGCGGCCUGGAUCUCGCUCCCGGGAGGGACCCCGUCGGGAGGAGAGAUCCUAGGGGUUGUCUAGGCUCGGGUCGGCCGACCUAGACUCCUCCAAUCGGCGUAGAGUCGAAGAGAGGCGAAGAAUUUGGGGAUUGAGAGGCUAAACCUAAACUAGACUAGAACUACUCCUAGGAUAAAAUGCGAAUAGAAGUUGUAUUGAUUCGAUUGUUGAUGAUUACAAAUCGGUCGUAGACCUCUCUAUUUAUAGAGGAGGGGAGCUAGACCCUUUACACAACUGAUUUCGAGCUAAUUCCGCGAAUAUAGCUAACAACCGUAGCACAAAACUCGGAACCCUAACCUGUUCUGCGCACGCGCGGACCGUCCGGCCCACAAGCGCGGACCGUCCGAACCGCGGACCGUCCGGCCUCAGGGCCGGACCGUCCGCUGGCUCAUUAUGGCGCUCAACAUAUGCCCCCCUGCCUUUUGGUGGAGCUGAGCAAACCAAAAGCAACUAACUCGAUGUGAUCACAUCGGUUCUCUUAGGCAUCUUGCCACAUACUAGGAUGGUACUGUUUGAGGAAACGCCCAUUCAAAGCCUUAGGCAAAUCCUUGCCUUGUAAUGUUUGUAGCAAAUAGGCGUUGCCAGACAUCACCUGUUUUACUUUAUAAGGACCCUCCUAGCUUGGCGACCAUUUCCCGAACUUCCGGUCUUUACUCCUUAGAGGCAGAAUGGUCUUCCACACCAGGUCCCCUACUUGAAAUGAUUUUGCUUUGACCUUCUUGUUGUAGGCCUUGGCUACCAUGAUCUUGUCCUUUUCUAUUGCUCCCAAAGCUAUCAUCCUCUUGUCGGUCACCUCAUCAAUAUUAUCCAUCAUUGAAUUAUAGUAAUCAGUAGCAGUUAUAUCAUUUUGUCUGGCGAACCUGACUGCAUUCAAACUUAUUUCCACAGGCAACACUGCUUCCUGCCCAUAGACAAGCUCAAAAGGAGAUACUUUAGUAGCCCUAUGUUUAGAUAUUCUAUGAGCCCAUAAAGCUUCAGACAAAAUCUUAUGCCAAUGUUUAGGAUUAUCAGAUAUCUUCUUUUUUAUCAAAUUAAUCAAUGUCCUAUUACUAGACUCGGCCUGUCCAUUGGCCUGAGCAUAAUAUGGAGAUGAAUUAAGCAGCUUAAUUCUGUAUAAUUCAGCAAAUUCACGUACCUCCUUUGACAUAAAAGAAGUACCUUGAUCUGUAGUCAAGGUCUGGGGAAUGCCGAAUCUAUGAAUAAUAUGCUCAGUUAUGAACUCAAUUACCUCCUUGUGCGUCAUGUUCUUUAGAGCAACGACUUCAGUCCAUUUGGUGAAAUAGUCAGUGGCAACUAACACAAACCGAUGCCCCUUUGAUGAUGAAGGAUGAAUUUCUCUAAUAAAGUCUAAUCCCCAUCCUCUAAACGACCAAGGCUUGAUGAUAGGAUGUAAUUCGGCUGCAGGGACCAACUGUAGGUCGCCGAAUUUUUGACACACUUGGCAACCCUUGUAGUACUUGAAACAAUCAGCUAUCAUACUAGGCCAAUAAAAGCCAGACCUUCGCAACAACCACUUCAUCUUUGGAGUUGAUUGAUGAGUACCACAAAUUCCUUCAUGUACUUCGGCCAUGGCUAAUAUAGCAUCAUCUGGGCCCAAGCACUUAAGCAGGACAUCAUUGACCGUUCGGCGGUAAAGUUCAUCACUCAUCAAAACAUACUUGAAAGUUGUUCGCCGAAUGUUCUUAUCUGUCCUGAUAUUGGGAUUUCGUAAAUAAUUAAGUAUAGGUGUCCUCCAAUCACUUGCAUCGGCUUCAUUGUCAGCCGAAUCGAUUAAGAGAACAUUUCUGGUAACCCCGGACGGUCCGGCGUCAUCACGCGGACGGUCCGCGACCUGGGAAUUUGGCUCUGCACUGGUUAUCAGAUUUUCAGUUUUGUGAAAUUUUCCUCUCUUUAUCCGAUAACCUGAUGCAUCUUGUGCCAAAUCGUUAGCUCUAUGAUUCUCAACUCUAGAAAUAUGCCGAAUACUGAAUUCGUCAAAAGAAUGGAUUAUGCUCCAACAUUUCUCAAGGUAACUAUUUAGAGUACCAUCAAAACAUUGAUAUUCUUCUAACACUUGUUGGACAACCAGCUGAGAAUCACCAAAUACCUUCACAUGUUUUACUCCCAUACCAUUUAAAAGUUCUAAGCCGAAUAGGAGGGCCUCAUAUUCAGCUUGAUUAUUAGUGCAAUAAGUUUUCAAUCGACUAGAGAAGUCAAAGGAGACAUUACUUGGUGAAACAAGCACAAUGCCAAUUCCUUGCCCUUCAUUGCAAACCGAUCCAUCAAAAUAUAAAGUCCAAGGAGUAAUAGUGAGGUAUGACAUGUCUAGUUCAUGAAUAUCAUUAACCCGAUGUUCUACAAUGAAAUCCGCUACGACUUGGCCUUUCAUAGAUUUCAAUGGUUCAUAGGCCAAGUCAUAUUCUAUGAGUGCAUAAGCCCACUUACCAAUCCUACCACUCAUAAUUGGGUUAUGCAACAUGUAUUUGAUCACAUCGACUUGACCAGAAACAGUGCAAUGACUAGACAGUAAGUAACAUCUACAUUUGGUGCAUGCAUAAAACAAGCAUAAGCAUAACUUUAAAAUAAAAGUGUACCUUGUUUCAGCAUCCACCAACCUUCGGCUUAGAUAUGUCACCACAUGCUCCCUCCCCUCAGUUUCUUGUGUCAGAACAGCCCCAAUAACUUUGUCUUCAGCUGCAAUGUAUAAUCUGAAUGGUGCUCCCACUUGUGGUGCUUUUAACACAAGAGCCGAAGACAAGUAUUUUUUAAUGAGAUCAAAUGCUUCCUGCUGCUCUGCCCCCCAAGUGAACUCGGCAUCAUUCUUAAGCCGAAGGAUAGGGGUGAAGGCAUCAAUCUUCCCGGCUAGGUUAGAAAUAAACCUUCGUAAAUAAUUCGCCUUGCCGAGAAACUUCUGCACUUCGACCUUACAAGUCGGAGGUCCCACAUUCCGAAUAGACUUGAUUCGGUCAGGGUCUAUUUCUAUACCAUGUUCAUGGAUGACAAAUCCUAAAAACUUACCAGCCGACACUCCAAAAGCACAUUUAUGUGGGUUCAUUUUCAAACCAUACCGACGCAUUUUAUCAAAGGCUUUGCACAAAUCAGCUAUAUGAGGACUAAACUCAGCCGAUUUGACUACAAUAUCAUCAAUGUAGACUUCCAUAGUGUUUCCUAACAACUCAUGAAAGAUCAGAUUCAUAGCCCUCUGAUAAGUAGCACCAGCAUUUUUAAGACCGAAUGUCAUGACAACCCAUUCAAAUAAACCAAUGAAGCCUGGACAUAUAAAGGCCGUUUUAGACGCAUCCUCUUCGGCCAUGAAAAUCUGAUUAUAUCCGGCAUUACCAUUAAGGAAGCUAAUAAUUCUAUUUCCUGAUGCAUUAUUGAUUAAUGCAUCGGCUAUGGGCAUGGGAUAUUCAUCUUUAGGAGUCGCUCUAUUUAAAUUGCGAAAAUCAAUGCAUACUCUAAGCUUACCUGACUCCUUCUUCUCCACUGGCACAAUAUUGGAGACCCACUCUGCGUAUCUGCAAGGUCUGAUAAAAUCAGCUUCUAGCAGCCGGUGGAUUUCGUCCUUGAUGCGUGGGAGAAGAUCUAGACGAAAUGUUCUAGCUCUCUGCUUGAAAGGUCUGAAACCCAAUUUAAUAGGCAGUCGAUGCUCCACGAUCUCUCGGCUUAAUCUAGGCAUCUCAGUGUAAUUCCAAGCAAAGCAAUCUGAAUACUCCUUCAAUAGACCGAUCAUCUCAUCUCUAGGAUCAGUCUCCAGGGUCUUGUUUACAAAAGUCGGCCUUGGAGUUUAACCAUCUCCUAUGUCAAUCUCCUCCAAAGGAUCGGCCGAUGUAAACCCCUGUCCUAGUUUAUCAAGAUCUCUGAAUUCCUCUAUCAUGCUCCCCACAGAGGAAUUAGAUGAUCUUUGUGUGACGGUGGACUUUUCGGUCUCAGGGACCGGAUCAUCCGUAAUACUGUCUUUUUGCUGCAAUAGAUGUUCGGUCUUAAAGUCCGAACCCUUUUGUGAAAGACCAGACCAUCCGACCUUGGCGGCCGAACUGUCCGUGACCAAAGACUCAUGAACUUUGUGUGUAUUCAUCAUUUAACUUUAUUUAGGAUUUAGCCGAUUCUCCAUCGGCUCUAGCAUUACAGGAAUGAAACCUUUCUUAUCUAUACUUAUGAAUUGAUAAUCAGAAAAGUCUACUCCUGUGAGACAUGUAGCAGUCUCAUAAGUCCAGAGUACAGGGGCAUCGGCCACAGCGAUGCAGGCCGAUACAUCAGCAUGUACUUGUUCUAUGUCAUCGCCUACCCAUUGUAUCAGCAUUUGAUGUAAUGUAGAAGGUAUACAUUGAUUGGUGUGAAUCCAAUCUCUGCCUAGGAUUAAACUGUAAUUUCCUUCUACAUCAGUGACGAAGAAUGCAGCAGCAAGGGUCUUAGUCCCGAUGGUUAAUUCAACGGACGUGACUCCCCUGGCUUUGAUCGAACUAUCAGUUCCAACACCGCUGAGGGUCAUGUUGGUCUUGACAAGUUCGUCAUCUUGUUUACCUAAUUUUCUGUAUAAUGAAUAAGGCAUUAGAUUUACAGCCGCCCCUCCAUCUACCAACAUCUUAGCAAUCGGUAUCCCAUCAAUGUGGUCGCGCACGAAGAGCGGCUUUAAAUGAUUUACCGAUUCUUUUGGUUUAGUAAAGUCGGCUUCUUUAGGACCAAAAUUAAACUGGGCAACAACAGGUUCAUCGUCGCCGAUAAUAGUACAAUCGACAGAAAAUGUAAUAAUAUUUACAUCCAUACCUGGGCGUUCUGGAGAAGCCUCGUAGUCGACCAGGUCUUCUCCCAGCAGGUCGUCCUCUUCCAUUGAUGUUGUCGUGUCGUUGGAGGCCUCCUGGUGAACGGCGGACGGUCCGCACGCGGGGGCCGGACGGUCCGCGCCUGGUGCGGGUUGUCCAGAGGCUUCCUGGUGAACGGCGGACAGUCCGUGCGCGGGGGCCGGACGGUCCGCGCCUGGUGCAGGUUGAUUUUUUAUUUCUAUGGCCGUUUGUUUUUUCUCAACGGCCUUCGGUCUCCAUUUCUUUUGCGGUGGCGGGUAUAGUUGAUGUGUAUCAUUAAAUGUCUUUUCCGCCUCCUUCUCCUGGCUCUCCUUUGCCCUUAGGCGCUGUAAUUUUCUCUUUUGGGAUCGUGUCAAUCCCGUUGGGCACCAUCGAGGCAUAGACUAUUUUGGAUCGGCUGUUUUGAUGGUAGCCGUAUCCUUUUCGGUUGUGUUGGCCGAUUCGCCGAAAAUCAUUGGCCCUUUAUUGUCUCCCUGUAUGACAACAUCUGCGGUGCCUAUUUUGAUGAUGUCCUUUUUUGUUGUUCUUUGAGUUGCUAUAGGCAUAUGCCCCCCUGCCGGAUUGGUCGGCCUAGGAGGCUGAAUAGUCCGGCAAUCUUGUUGGGCAUGUGUCUGGUGACCGGAUUCAGCAGCGCUCAAUCGGUCUUGCACUGGCGGCGCCAACCUAUCAAAAAUGGAUGUUUGGGGUGCCCCCCAGGCGGGGUACUGUGGCAUCCCAAAUGGAUAUGGUGGCAUGCCCCACAUUUGAUUUGGGACAUAUGGUGGAGGUAAGUAUGUGUAUGGAUAUGGCAUAGAUGGAUAAGGAGGUGGAGGGGUCCAUGUCGGCAUGUUAGGUCUCAAUUGUACAAUAGGACCUUUCAUUUCUUCCGAUUGGUGAGGUGGUCCAAUCGGCCUGACCUAACGUUGCUCAUGAAUGGGUGAGCGGGGUCGCUUCGGUGGCCGGUCACUGGGGCCGGCCUUCUUUUUCACAUAUUUAGACAACAAUUGAUCGAAAGUCGGGCCAGGCUUGAUCAGUCGACCAGCUGCUUUAAAUGUAUUUGUUUUCCACGUACCUAUCUCUGGUCGUCGUGGUUUGAAGAUACGUGGUCGCUGCGAGUCCUGAGCAUGGCCGGACCGUCUGCCAGAGUCCUCCGGACCGUCCGGAGAAGCGUCGGACCAUCCGCGUCGGGACGGCGGACUGUCCGUGAUGCGCAGCACGGGUUCCCGCAACUGUCUCCCUGUCUGCGCUUGCCCCCCAGUGCUAGAGGCUGUGAUGGUCACCUUCAGGGUCUCCCCUCCAUCGGGAGUCUUCUCGGCCACCACUUUCCUGCAAGAAACUUUACAAUCCCCAUCGGCCUUUUUAGCAUUGCCGAUGAUUGUUUCCUUGCCUUUGCCUUUGUCGGUUGUAUUUGGCCGAACCAGGACUUUCUUGCCCUCGAAGUCAAUCAUAUUCAUCGGAAAGGGCUCUGUAUCCACCUGCAUUUCCUGAAAUUUCAAUCGUCCUUCGUUAAUGGCCGAUUGAAUCUGUCGCCGAAAUACAUUACAAUCAUUAGUGGCAUGAGAAAAUGAGUUAUGCCACUUGCAGUACGCACGAUGUUUUAGCUCGUCGGCGGAUGGAACAGUGUGAUUUAUUUUGAUAUUGCCAUUUUUGAGUAACUCGUCAAAUAUUUUAUCACACUUACCGACAUUAAACGUAAACUUAACCUCCUCUUGCCGUUUCUUUUGAACCGGCUGCAAGGAGGGACAAGCCGAAGAUUUGGCCUGUUUUGGCCAAACCAUUUCAGCAGCAUACACUUCCGUUGAUUUGUCAUCCGAGCUACUUUGGUCGCAUUCUACUAUAUGUACGUUGUGACGCAUUGUCUUAGCAGUUUCUUUACUCCGGCUUUCGCAAGCCAAAACUCUCUGGUGUAACUGUGCUAGUGUAAAAAAUUGGAUGUCUUCUAAUCUUUCUUUUAAAUAAUAUCGUAAACCAUUAAAGGCUAAUCCUGCUAGCUGUUUUUCUGCUAAAUGAAUUUGGAAGCAUCGGUUUCUUGUAUCUCGGAAUCUCCGGAUGUAAUCAUUAACCGAUUCAUCUUUUGCUUGUCGUAAUGACACUAAAUCUACCAAAUCCAACUCAUAGUCACCGGAGAAAAAAUGAUCAUGAAAUUUUUGUUCUAAAUCCCCCCAUGAUGAAAUGGAAUUAGGAGGUAAAGUGGCGUACCAUGCAAACGCAGUUCCUGUUAAAGAUAAUGAAAAUAAACGUACGCGAAAUGCCUCUGUGUCGGCCAACUCUCCUAAUUGUGCUAAAAAUUGGCCUAUGUGUUCACGUGUGUUCUUUCCUUGAUCACCCAAAAAUUUUGUGAAUUCGGGUAUCCUGGUUCCCUGUGGGUAUGGGUGGUGAUCAAAUCGACUGUCAUAAGGUUUCCGAUAUGAUUGCCCCCCAGGGACCAUGCUUACUCCGAGCUUAUCUCGGAACGCCCCGGCUAUUUCUUCCCUUACUAUAUCAAUGACAGCCGGUGCGAGACCACCGGCUCUCUGGUCAAACAUAGGUGGGGUUGGCUGGAUAUUAGCAUGUUGUCUUUCCCCCCAUUGGUUUGAGUUACGUGGUGCAUUUCCAUUUGCCCUAUAUGGCUCAUAGGUUUGAUCGUUUCUUUCCGGCCUUCUAGGUGGGGCCGGAAAGCUUUCCUGGGCUCUGGAUCCUAAAUUAAUGGGCUGGUGCAUUGCAUAGUGUGAUGGGAAGUGUUGCUGGGACGGGCGAGGAUUCAUGUAAUAAUCCUCCUCAAAAGACUCAUGCGCGGACUGUCCGGAUACGUACCCGGACCGUCCGUGGUUAUAUGCGAACCGUCCGUCGUUGUAUGCGGACCGUCCGACUGGGUAGUUUGGGUUCUGUGCCGUGUGUGGUGGCUCGGGCGCAUAUCUAGGUAACUCAUUAAAAAUAGGCCCGACUGUUGCUGGCCCGGACGGUCCGCGCUCACGUGCGGACGGUCCGGGCAUGUGCAGAUCGGCUGAUUUACUGCCGAUUUGCGGUUGCUCAGGGUAUGUGUCCAUCGGCAUCCCAUAAAGGGGUUGUGACUGGUCGUGACAACCUGUAGCCGAUGUAUUAUGCGUGUUACCCCCUAACUCAACCUCGUGCGAAGGAAAAUUUGCGAUAUUAGAUUUAUCAAAUGCACGUACUAGUCUCUUAAAAUCGCUUUGCAUACCCCCUAUGAUGUUCUGCAUUUGCUCACGUUGCUCUUCUACAUAAUUCUAAGAGAUUGUAGCUCGUUGGUAUUACUUACAUUGGGGAUAUUUGGUGUGGGUUGGAGCGAAGCCGGAUCCGUCGCCCGAUGUCGGACGACCUUGUUGUUCCUGUCCACUUUGAAGUCGGCCAAGAAUUUUGCUUUUGCCUCCUGGAUCAUACGCUCCUUGUGCUCCUCGAAUUGGAGCUGUUCGUCAGCCGGCAAGGUCUCCCAAGUCGGCUCUAUGAUGUUGCUUGGGGAAAUAUCAGAGCCAUCUCUUGAACCGGCCGUUGAGGGCCGAUUUGAUGCGUCUAUAUUUGUCUUCCCCAGCGGAGUCGCCAAAAAGUAUGUUGACGCCUUUUCGGAGCGCCAAAUACUCAAGAAGAACCGGCGGCGGUGCUCUCUGGUCAGGUGCGGACGGUCCGCGGCACGGAGUCGGACGGUCCGCGACCUGGCGCGAGGCGGCGGUGCUCUCUGGUCAGGCGCGGACGGUCCGUGGCCUAGGGCCGGACGGUCCGCGACCUGGUGCAGGAGCUUGGGUCCUCUGCCUGACGGUCGGACGGUCCGCGCCCUGAGGCCAGACGGUCCGCGCGUGCGCAGGGGCGGCGGAAGUCGCCGACGGCGGCCUGGAUCUCGCUCCCGGGAGGGACCCCGUCGGGGAGGAGAGAUCCUAGUGGUUGUCUAGGCUCGGGCCGGCCGACCUAGACUCCUCCAAUCGGCGUAGAGUCGAAGAGAGGCGAAGAAUUUGGGGAUUGAGAGGCUAAACCUAAACUAGACUAGAACUACUCCUAGGAUAAAAUGCGAAUAGAAGUUGUAUUGAUUCGAUUGUUGAUGAUUACAAAUCGGCCGUAGACCUCUCUAUUUAUAGAGGAGGGGGGCUGGACCCUUUACACAACUGAUUCCGAGCUAAUUCCGCGAAUAUAGCUAACAACCGUAGCACAAAACUCGGAACCAUAAUCUGUUCUGCGCACGCGCGGACCGUUCGGCCCACAGGCGCGGACCGUCCGAACCGCGGACCGUCCGGCCUCAGGGCCGGACCGUCCGCUGGCUCAUUAUGGCGCUCAACAGGCUCUUUACCGAGCGUUCAGCUUUUUGCCGGGCACUCAGCAAAACUUGAGUGUCACUUUCGGCGAACAAAGACACUCGGCACAGACCUCCUUUGACGAGCGCAAAACUCUCAGUAUACACUGACGCUUGGUAAAGUAGGCGAAACUUAAUGCUCGGCAAAGGACCGUCAGCAGCAGUCUAUAUUUGACGACGGUUAACUAUGCCGAGUGUCAGGAAUUGACACUCAACAAACUAACUUCUUUGUCGAGUGUCCUAUGGCAGACACUCGGCAAAGUAAGGUUUCAUCGAGUGUCUUUCCUCGACACUCGACGAAUUAUAUUUGAGCAUAUUGAGAGCAAGAUUAGCUAAUAGAUUAGAUUAAUCUAGUGGUUUUGAAGAUUUUGACAAAUAAUUCUUUGGUGUUUUUGGAGAGUACUUUGUACACAUAAUGUUCAUGAUUAAGGUGGUGAUUAUGCACGAUUAGUAGGGUAAUGUCGUUCCUCUCUCUUUAAUCAUUAAUUGGAUGCCUAGUGUUUGAUUAUAGAUUGAUUUAUUAAAUUAAUUUAUUCAUCUUGAUUUGAAUCAUCUAGAUUAUUGCUAGGGCAUCAAGUUUACCUGCAAAGUUUGAUGAAUUAAUAUUUUUUACUCUUGUUUAAUCUCAAAAUUAAGGCUUGAUUAAUUUUCAUUAUACUCUAUCAUAAUAGUCUUGUUUUAUAAUAUCUUUUGAUACGGAAGUACAAUCUAAGUGGUUCUAGUUGAGUUGGUUGUGUAAUUUUAUCUAGUUUAAUCAUUUAAAAUUUUAGAAGUGGAUUAAAUUGGUUUUGUAAUUAGGAAGAGGUGGCCUAGUUCAUUCACCCCUCUUUUGAUUAUCUAUCAUUGUGUCAUAUGAUCCUACAAGUGGUACCAGAGCAAUUUUUAUUGUCAAGUUAAUCUUAAACACUAAUUAGAAUAAAUAGCAAUAGAUAGAUAUACCACAAAACCGUGUAUUUUUGUGUUGAUUUUUAGUUUUGGAAGGAAAAGAUGGAUACAAGGUUGGGUGUAUCAAGAAAAAGUUGUUGUGUUUCCUUUUUAGGUGCGAGAUCAAAUUAAUGAAGCUAAUCAGAAGAAUGUGGAUAAUAAUAGCAAGACAAUGAACUUAGUCAUUUAGGGUAUUAGGAGUGACUUUGACAGCGUGACACAAGUACGCAUAGAGAUAUGAAAAGCACUUUAUAAUUAUUUUGAAGGUUGUAACACAAUAAAACAAUAAAAGAAGUGAGGAAGAGGAAUAGACUUACAAUCUGCUGUGUUGGAUUUGUGUUAGUUUUCUCAUGAUCCAUAUGUGGGUUAACGACCCACUGAAAGUGCGCUUUACAUAUGACGUAGGACGAUGAUUAAAACUGGUGCUUUGAAGAAGUAGGGAAGAGAUAUAUUUUUAGUCACUUUUAGUUUCUAAGAAGAAGCUAAACUUUAAUCAGUUUGUUUUAGGUCGUAUAUCAAACAAGCUCUAAGUUUCAUUCAAUAUCGAUGUCUAUCUCUUAUCGGUCUUGAGUCACGGUCACGGUCUUGCGUCACCAGAGAAGUGAUCAGCAUACUUUUGCAGGGUGAAACAAAGGCGUUGGAGCAUAUCUAACAGGAGUCUUGAACAGAGUUGUCUUUUAAAAUAUAGAACUCUAACACUAAAAACCUGCUCCAAUAAAAUUACUAUUUUACAAAAAAUCAUCAAAUAAUUAUAGGGCUCACCCUCUUAGGUCCUAAAUACAGGACAUCAUAUGCUAAAGCCAUAUCCUCAUUUUAUAUACUAUUCCUAUUUUUUUAAUUUCUUAAAUAAUAUGAUAUAUUUCCUAAUAACAUGAUAGGACUUAACUGUUGGAGCUGAAAAUGUUUUUGUGGCUCUAAACACUUGAAAUUAGGUCCUAUUUCAAAUUUUAGGACUUAAAUAUAUGAAUUCUAGCCGGAGAUGCUCUUAGACAGGAAAAAUGAUGGUGGAGUAACUCUUUUUAUUUAUUAUGAGGGGUAAAAAAUUAUUAGGGCAUGUACAACCCUAUUUAAUGUGGGGUCACUUAAGGGAUCUAUAGGGGUUAAUUAUAAAAAAUAAAAAGAGACAUUCUCUUUAAGAAGUCCGUCUCUACACAACUUUCUAUAUAUAUUGUUUUUAACUGUAUUUAUGAUCUAGAGGCUCAUGAUUGUAUCAUGCAGUCUCUUAACUGUCUAUUGCACUUGAAAAUCAAACCAGGGCCUUAAGAUUGUAAAUGACUUUAUAUAUAAAUACUAGGUAUAUGCUCGUGCGUUGCCACGAGGCGGGGGAGCGGGUGGAGCAGCGCCUAGACUAUAAAUAUAAUUAUUGUUUAUUUUUAAACAUUAAGGUACGUGUGGUCUGGUGGUUAGCCUUAAAUUUCUAGAGUAAAAAGCGGCGUGUGUUCGAGUGCUCAAUCUGCACUAUUUUUUGUGUGCGUUUGACGUGAGCAGAGUGAAACUAUGGUAGCACCAGGUGUCUUCUUAAUAGAUUAGUAUAGAUAAAGUCUUUCCACGCCUCUCGAAUCGAGCACGAGUGCACGACACAGCGAGUAGAAGAGACGUCGCGUCGAGGCAAAAAUUUGUUUAAUAGUAUUUCUUAACCUGACCAUUAAUUGUUUUAAGAUUAUAGCACCAUAUCUAGCAGGUCCAAUUUUCAUUUUUAGAUCUUAAAUUGACUUAGAAAAUGACCUUCAUGUCUUUAUCGUGGCAUCUGCCAUGUUUUAAUUAAACUGUAUAUGGUGGACAUCAUAUUAUUUUGUUUUGUAUACUCAUCAUGAGAAUAUCAUGUUAUUUCAUUUGUUGUGGUCAUGAUGAUGUUAGAUUUGGUGUCCGUCAUAUUUUAGUUAUUUUUAAACUUGCUUCAAAAUUAUUGCCAUUAGAAACCGUUAUACAAAAAACAUUGUAAUGUCCAUGAGAAAAAACUGGUUUGGUUCAUCGCUUCUAGACUGAUUCCAAAGGACCCGUUGUCUGUUUACACUAAGGGCUGAUUUGGUGACCAGAAAUCACGAGGAUCCAUAAAACCUUUGGUAUUCAAUUUGCCAUAAAUCAUCUCGUGAUCCCUGAGCACCAAAUUGUCCUCGGGAGUCCGGAGUAAGGACAUGAUUAGAAACCUAAUCGUCGGUUAAUCGUGUUUAGCCUUGGACGAUCAGAGACAUGAUUGUUUUAGGAAUUCUGGUCCACUUCGUUUUGUUUUUUACCAUUCAUUUUGGCCAAGUCCCACGCAUACAAGUACACGACGCAAAAAGCAUCCACAUUCCAGUUUCCACACGCUAACACAGCCGACGUAAUGUUGUACUAUACUACAAUUUAGACUUUUAGUUGUACGUAAUGUUUUAUUACAAUAACCUCAGCGAUUAACCGGGCUGGUCAUCCGAUUAAUCGAUUUGACCAGCUGAUCAUCUCUCUGACAGCAGGGUCACUGACGGCGUGCCGUAGUAGCGCAGGGGCGGACAGGGUCCGAGUCCGAGGCACGGAUAUCUGGAUUGGGAUUUUGGGAUCUGUGGCCAUCUGGGGAAGACAGAAGACGGGACGGGACAGCAAGCCAGCAGCGGCUGAGGAGAGGAACCGAG
rnacentral:lncRNA from 1 species